rnacentral:rRNA from 1 species
GACGAACGCUGGCGGCGUGCUUAACACAUGCAAGUCGAACGAAGAGCGAUGGAAGCUUGCUUCUAUCAAUCUUAGUGGCGAACGGGUGAGUAACGCGUAAUCAACCUGCCCUUCAGAGGGGGACAACAGUUGGAAACGACUGCUAAUACCGCAUACGAUCUAAUCUCGGCAUCGAGGAUAGAUGAAAGGUGGCCUCUACAUGUAAGCUAUCACUGAAGGAGGGGAUUGCGUCUGAUUAGCUAGUUGGAGGGGUAACGGCCCACCAAGGCGAUGAUCAGUAGCCGGUCUGAGAGGAUGAACGGCCACAUUGGGACUGAGACACGGCCCAGACUCCUACGGGAGGCAGCAGUGGGGAAUCUUCCGCAAUGGACGAAAGUCUGACGGAGCAACGCCGCGUGAGUGAUAACGGCCUUCGGGUUGUAAAGCUCUGUUAAUCGGGACGAAAGGCCUUCUUGCGAAUAGUGAGAAGGAUUGACGGUACCGGAAUAGAAAGCCACGGCUAACUACGUG